rnacentral:tRNA from 1 species
CGGGAUGUAGCUCAGCUUGGUAGAGCGCGUCGUUUGGGACGACGAAGUCGCAGGUUCAAGUCCUGUCAUCCCGA